UACGUAGGGGGCAAGCGUUGUCCGGAUUUACUGGGCGUAAAGAGCGCGUAGGCGGAGAUCUAAGCGUGGCCUGAAAGCCCCCGGCUCAACCGGGGAGUGCGGCUGCGAACUGGGUUUCUUGAGGACGAUAGAGGAGAGUGGAAUUCCUGGUGUAGCGGUGGAAUGCGCAGAUAUCAGGAGGAACACCGGUGGCGAAGGCGGAUCUCUGGGCCUUAACUGACGCUCAGGUGCGAAAGCUAGGGGAGCGAACAGG
rnacentral:rRNA from 1 species